GUCCACGCCGUAAACGAUGGGUACUAGAUGCUUGGGGGAGCGACCCUCUGAGUGUCGGCGCUAACGCAUUAAGUACCCCGCCUGGGGAGUACGGCCGCAAGGCUGAAACUCAAAGGAAUUGACGGGGGCCCGCACAAGCGGUGGAGCAUGUGGUUUAAUUCGACGCAACGCGAAGAACCUUACCUAGGCUUGACAUGCAUGGGAAAGCUCUGAGAAACCAGGGCCCCUCUUCGGAGUCCAUGCACAGGUGCUGCAUGGCUGUCGU
rnacentral:rRNA from 1 species